CACGACAUGCAGCAUGGCUAGCCAUUUUGCACAACACGGGGCAUGUCGAGCAUGCGACCAUCGCCAGAAUGACUCUGAUUCCUUGUGUUCUUGGACUCCUACUUCGAUCAGGUUUAGGAUUCUCUAGUUUUUCUUUAUGUAUGACCUUUAAACCUUUCUUCUUUGUAUUUUCCUCUAUCAGGGUUAUUUUUUUCCUUUUUCCAAGAUCCAACAAGAUCAUAGGUGUUCAUCUUCUAAUCUUCUUCGAUGGCUCCAAAGAGAAGUAUUCCACUCUAGAUUGCUGAAAAAGAGAGGCAAGAAUCUUCUUCUUUCAAUGAGGUACUUCACUUUCUGAACUCUCUUGCCAUUCAUAUUUCCAAAAAUAUCUUGAAAGGAGUUCGGGCCAAAGAUGUUCGAGGUCGUCCUGUUUUCCCUUCUUGGUUCCAAUCUUGGUAUGAUGCGGCAGGCCAAUGGGAAGAUAUAAAAUCUUUCCUCAUGAUCUAUUCUCUCCAAUGAACUAUUCUAAUGGCUCUGACCCAUGUGAAUUUUUCUAUGAUAGAGGCUAUCACAGAGAGGUUUGCUUAUCGUUCAAAUUCAUUAAUUUUCCCUACCAGAGAAGUUACUCUAACCAUAGAGGAGACUGCCAAAAUUUCAAGUCUGUCACUUUCCAGCGUGCCGUAUCCACCAGUUUCGAAUUCUGAUAAUUUUUCAAUUUUGGGAAGGAAACUCUUAGGAGCUGCUUUUUCUCCCUCAUGAGAUUGGGUGGAUUUAGAGAAAUUGUUUGCUCAAAGGAACAAAUCCACUGCUGAAGAACAGCUUCGAAUUUUUAUUUUCUGUUUAAUUGGGUUUGUGUUUCUCCCUACUGGCACGAAGAUGUACCGAAGUUCUUUAAUUCCCCUGAUUUGGAAUUUGUGGCAAAACUCAAAAUUUUCGAUAGUCCAUGCAGUAUUGGCGGGUAUCUACCAAGCUCUUUUCGGUAGAGUAAUGUACGGGCACCGCCUUUUAGAAGGAAGCAUGAUUAUUUUGCAGUUAGGAAUCCAACCACCACUGUGGGUGCUCGAGCUUUGGCCUACACUAACAUUCGGAUAGAAGUAGCUGAGACUGCUUUUUACAAGGAGACUUUCGAUAAUUUGUUCGAAUUUCAAUAGAUUCUUCGCGGCUUGGAAGAUGCCAUAUUGACCACUGCCAUAUCCGGGCCAUUCUCAUAUCAUUCUUGGGGUUCAGUUCUUCACAGAGAGAUAUUUUCCUCAAAGAGUUCUGAGGCACUUACGUUUCGAUCAAUACUACAUUGCUUCCCCUUUUAAUGCUGCAGAUACAAGGUUGAUUCCUCACUCUUUUUCUCUUCUGAGGUCUAUCUCGAAAAUGCGUUCUUCUUCUAAGAGGGACAGUCUAAAGAAGAAAAAAGAGUGAGCCAUCUUGCUCCCGAAUUUACCAAGCUUGGUGGGAGAAAGCCAAUCCUUUGCGACUUUCAGGGAUGCUAGACCCUCCUCCCCACGAAGUUGCGAUGCUAGAGCCUCUCUUAAACAAGACUAAGUCAAUGGUUUGGAAGGAGCCAUCCUCCAUGGAAGAGGCACAAGAGAUGCUCUCACGCCUACUAGAAGAGAAGAAUAGAGUCGAGGAAGAUCUAACCCCAGCAGAAGAUGACUAGCAGCCUUUCAAGUUUCCCAGGAUAGGCAGUUAAACUAGAAACUCUCCUUCUUCCUUUUUUUGUUUUUUUUUUCUUGGGUGUAAUGAAUCUCCAACAAUGGUUGUUAGAAGGAAAAAAUUCAUUAUAGGAUUUUUUCCUUUUUCUUUUUUAUUUUUCAUGCAUGAUUUUGGGUGAAGAAUACAGGCACAAUUUUUCGUUUUUCUUUUUCUUUUUUUUUAUUUUCCUAAUUUUCUGAACCUCUGGACACACUUGCUCUUGGUCCAUUCCUUUUCCUUAAUUUUUUAGAAUUUUUUCCGAUCUUUUUAAAAAUAUAUAUAUUUUUGCCCAUUGUUUGGGAUCUUGUCCGUACUGUAAGCCUUUAAAAAAUCUGUGGCGUGGUUUUUCUUUUCCACUCAAAUUUGAAAAGCCUCGCUCUCUUCUUGAAACUUCUUCUUGUGAAGAGAGACCCAUUUUUCUCAUUUUCUUCAAUCUUUGAUCGUAGGAAUUGUUUCUUGGGCACUUUCCUCUUUUAUUCCUCAGCUUCUUUGAUUUAUUUGCUUCAAAUUUUGGCUGGUUAUGGCCAAUCCAAAUCAAUGGUGGGCUGGAGAUCGCCCAUGUUUCUCGUUCGAAUGGGAGGAAGCCGGUUCGCGUCCCCUUAUCUUCCGAUGAUCUUUCGCUUUUUCUCUUUUCUUUUUAAUGUAUUGUACUCAGUCUUGAUCACCAUGUCUAUAUUUUGAGAAUCCAUAGCGUGAAAACUUGUCUUCUUUUGAUAUGAACCAUUUUCAUCUCUUUUGACCAUGUGCAAAACACGAAAGUUGUUCAUCUUGAUACUUUGAAGAUGUAUGCUGAAUAUUGGUGCACGAAACCAUCCAUUCCACUGUCUUCACUAGUGUCCCAUUUUUGUCGUGACUUGAAGGACCGGUUCAAAUGGGCUGAUUUUUUCGUUCUGACAACUGCAUCACGAUUAUUACCCAUGCCAAGUUCAUGUUUUAUUUUUCAACAGAGAAUUCCAAACAUGUUUUCUAUUUUUUCCAUAUCGCGAAAGUAGGCCUCCUGCUAUGAUUUUGCAUAAGAAAAUUUUUGUAGGGGAGCCUCGAUCACAAGAAGUAGUGACCUUGUAAACUUAGUUUAGGAUUCACUUUUAUGAUUUUUUAUCAAUGUUACCACAUAUUUGUCCCAAGAUAGGUUGUCUUGGGCGAACUUGAAAAUGACCAAAUUGCCCCUGCUUAAGGUCUGGAGGAAAUGUAGUUUAGGAUGCACUUUAAUGAUGGCUUUAUCAAUGUUAGCACAUAUUUUUCCUAGGAUAGGUUGUCUUGGGUGAACAUAAAAAAUGACCAAAUUGCCCCUACUUCACUUUUACCAAUAUAGUAUGAUUUUUCUUGUCUUUUAUUCCUUGAGAAAUUCUCAUGGGUCACUUUACCACAUGUUUGUGUUCUUUCGGAUAUCUUGAAUUGUGGUUGUAGAGGAUACAGCAAAUAUCUAUGAGGACUAAGUGCCUAUUUUUCUUACCCGUGCUCAUUUGAUUUGUAUGGAUGUGGUAGAAGCCUACAACCUUGAUCGCGUAUUGCGACAAUUUGGACCUCUUACUGGUCCUUACUUUUUCACUCCCAAAUGGGUGCCUCUUGUGAUCAGAGUCGAUUCUGAGUGGUGUAUUUGUCAAAUAUGGCUCCUUGGAUGGAAGAAUGGGAGAGGCAUGUUCUCAUAUAUGAGCUGAGUGAGUAGGAUGCCAAGGUGCCUCUGACGGUGUAUGGAGACAGAUAUCGGGCUUCUGCGAGGGAAAUCAUGUACAUAUCUAUGCAUGCUCGGGAGAUCAUGGAGAGGUUGGUCAUGGGUGGCCCUUGCGAGCUGGUCAGCCGUGAGGCGAUGCACUUGAGAGGUAGAUUGCAAGAGAUGAUGUGCUCUAGAGACCUAGCUAUGAGCAAUGUGCAGAGGUACGAGCUCAACUUGAGACUACGAUAGCUUCACUUCAGAGAGUUGACACUGAGAGAGAGCAAGAGCGUACUUUGCUGAGAUCUAAGAGAGAUUAGGCUCAGGCUGAACUAGAGUUGCUGUGGGUAACCCAAAGCCAGGCCUAAUCUUUAGGUGCGGGACCUUCCUAGGCUACGAGUGGAAAGAUAGACCCACUGCAUGUGAAUCUCAUAUGGGGGAGAGGCUAGCGAGAUGCAUAUAAGCAGCAACUGGGGAAGCUUCAGUUGGGCAUUGAUAACUUCAGUGCUAGAGUAGGCUGACCCGACACAGGCAACUAAAGGCCCGAGGAUAGUUCUGGGGCCACUCGUCCCUGCUUCUCCUGCAGCUCCGAGAAGCAGCAGUGAGCGUAGAGUAUGCUCUAGAGCAAGCGAGCAAGUAGGAGGCCUCAAGUGGCUUCCAAUCAAUUUCGAGAGAUGGGGAUUGAGUCCCUUCUUUGUAUUUUUCAUGCAUAUUCAUGUUGUAAGG